UCCAUUCAGAGAUGGAGCUUCAAUGGCUGAAGAGGGAUUUCGAGACUCUUGCUGAAAAUAAGCAGCAAAAGGUGCGUUACUACGAUAGCAGAGUGAAUUACACGACUAUGGCCUACCUCGCCUGGCUGCGCUUCUUCUACUUUGCUCUCUCCUCUGCUUCCUCCACCCUUCAUUGUGUUCAUUGGCCCAUGGUUUUGGGUUUGAGCCUUUCCUCUUCAUUCCUCUAUUUCCUCAUCUUACUUCAGCCUUUCAUCAAGUUGUACCGGACUCACAACCUGCUGGACACAAUUUGCAAGGAACAUACUCUUAUCUGUCAACGGAUCUUGGAGGCCAUGAACCAAGAUGCUGAGGCUGGAGCUUCGAAUGAUGGGGUUCGGUUCGAUUUUGGGCUCCAAGUCAGGGCGCUUAGCGAUGAUUCAUUCUGUGGUGGGGAGAUGAAAGUGUACGGAUGCGCCAUCGCCUUUGCUCUGCUCGCUGUUACUGCCUUUGAACUCUACGCCUGAAAAAGGAGGUUUAGAGGAUGAUAAGGAGGCCAUGCCAUAAUUGUUGUUGUUGGCUGUAAGUUGAAGUUGGAUAGUGUGUCCCUGCAGAUACGAAGGUUUUAUCGAGAGUCAAGGUUUUGAUUUUGACUACAAGCUAGAUGAUCCAUGUUUUGAGACCUACUCACAUGCUAGAUGAUCAAUGUCUUUGGUUCAAUCGGGGUCACUAGCGAGAUGAUCCUAUUUCAAGAUAAAGACAAUGACUGAAAACGCGACGAGAAGGGUUGUUGGUUGUGCCAUGAGGUUUGUCUUCAUAGGUCCACUACGUUGUUUUUGCUUCAACAUUUAAAAAAAUUUCAUGUAGUUGUGAACUUUGAUUGUUUUGAGAGAUGUUAAGGAAUUCAUUUGUGGUUUAUUCCUUAUAAUGUAUGUUUUAGAGUUUGU